rnacentral:rRNA from 1 species
AGUGAACGCUGGCGGUAGGCCUAACACAUGCAAGUCGAACGGCAGCACAGUAAGAGCUUGCUCUUACGGGUGGCGAGUGGCGGACGGGUGAGGAAUACAUCGGAAUCUACUUUUUCGUGGGGGAUAACGUAGGGAAACUUACGCUAAUACCGCAUACGACCUACGGGUGAAAGCAGGGGAUCUUCGGACCUUGCGCGAUUGAAUGAGCCGAGGUCGGAUUAGCUAGUUGGCGGGGUAAAGGCCCACCAAGGCGACGAUCCGUAGCUGGUCUGAGAGGAUGAUCAGCCACACUGGAACUGAGACACGGUCCAGACUCCUACGGGAGGCAGCAGUGGGGAAUAUUGGACAAUGGGCGCAAGCCUGAUCCAGCCAUACCGCGUGGGUGAAGAAGGCCUUCGGGUUGUAAAGCCCUCUUGUCGGGAAAGAAAAGCAGCAGGUUAAUACCCCGCUGUUCUGACGGUACCCAAAGAAUAAGCACCGGCUAACUUCGUG